rnacentral:rRNA from 1 species
UACAGAGGGUGCAAGCGUUUAAUCGGAAUUACUGGGCGUAAAGAGCACGUAGGUGGUUGAUUAAGUUGGAUGUGAAAUCCCCGGGCUUAACCUGGGAGUGUCAUUCAAAACUGGUCGACUAGAGUAUGGUAGAGGGAAGAGGAAUUUCCGGUGUAGCGGUGAAAUGCAUAGAUAUCGGAAGGAACAUCAGUGGCGAAGGCGACUUCCUGGACUGAUACUGACACUGAGGUGCGAAAGCGUGGGGAGCAAACAGG